GAAACUGGGUUUAAUACCGUAUACGCCCUUCGGGGGAAAGAAUUUCGGUGAGGGAUCGGCCCGCGUUAGAUUAGUUAGUUGGUGGGGUAAUGGCCUACCAAGACUACGAUCUAUAGCUGGUUUGAGAGGAUGAUCAGCAACACUGGGACUGAGACACGGCCCAGACUCCUACGGGAGGCAGCAGUGGGGAAUCUUAGACAAUGGGGGCAACCCUGAUCUAGCGAUGCCGCGUGAGUGAUGAAGGCCUUAGGGUCGUAAAGCUCUUUCGCCUGUGAUGAUAAUGACAGUAGCAGGUAAAGAAACCCCGGCUAACUCCGUGCCAGCAGCCGCGGUAAUACGGAGGGGGUUAGCGUUGUUCGGAAUUACUGGGCGUAAAGCGCACGUAGGCGGAUUAGUCAGUCAGAGGUGAAAUCCCAGGGCUCAACCCUGGAACUGCCUUUGAUACUGCUAGUCUUGAGUUCGAGAGAGGUAAGUGGAAUUCCGAGUGUAGAGGUGAAAUUCGUAGAUAUUCGGAGGAACACCAGUGGCGAAGGCGGCUUACUGGCUCGAUACUGACGCUGAGGUGCGAAAGUGUGGGGAGCAAACAGGAUUAGAUACCCUGGUAGUCCACACCGUAAACGAUGAAUGCCAGUCGUCGGGUAGCAUGCUAUUCGGUGACACACCUAACGGAUUAAGCAUUCCGCCUGGGGAGUACGGUCGCAAGAUUAAAACUCAAAGGAAUUUGACGGGGGCCCGCACAAGC
rnacentral:rRNA from 1 species